UACGGAGGGUGCGAGCGUUGUCCGGAUUUAUUGGGUUUAAAGGGUGCGUAGGUGGCUGUUUAAGUCAGUGGUGAAAUACGGUUGCUCAACAAUCGAGGUGCCAUUGAUACUGAAUAGCCUUGAAAUAAUUGGAGGCUGCCGGAAUGGAUGGUGUAGCGGUGAAAUGCAUAGAUAUCAUCCAGAACACCGAUUGCGAAGGCAGGUGGCUACGAUUGGUUUGACACUGAGGCACGAAAGCAUGGGGAGCAAACAGG
rnacentral:rRNA from 1 species